CUUAUUACGUGCACUUUCUUAAUGGGAAAAACUUGUUCUUUUAGGCUGAGGAAGGCGAUGAUGAUGAUGCUGCUGAUGAAGCAGAUAGUGAUGAUGCAGACGUCAAAUCAGAAACAAAGGAAGAUGUUACUGCCGCAGCUGAUGAAAAUGUUAAAGACGAGCUGUAGGAAAGUACGUGCGAGUACUGUGGUUGGCCCAACAUGCUGCUGCGAAGAAGAGCUUUGUUGGCAAUUGAGCUCUCGACAUUUUUCAUUUUUCUUUUGGCUUUUAGCUGUAGAAUUGCUGUUUAGGGAAAAAAGA